CCGAGAUCAGCUGGAUACAUAGAUCUGAGCUUGGGGCAGCCGCAAGCGGCAAGAUGGUUGGAAGAGUAUGGCAAAGUGAGACAAGGACAAAAGAGCCAUCUGGUCUACCUGCCUCACCUACCUUGAACUCCUGCAACAAAAUGAUUUGAGGCAAAGUCUUGGUCUAAUUAAUUGUUAGCAUCUCAUCUCGCUUCUUGAUCACCAGCCUCAGAGAGAAAUGCCUGCCAGGACCUCGUGACCAUGAAUGUGCUACCUUUGAAACAAAUCAAAACCACUAAACCAUUCCAAUGACGAUGAUUGUAACAAUCCACCUGCAACAAUAACUGA